GAUGAACGCUGGCGGCGUGCCUAAUACAUGCAAGUCGAGCGAACAGACAAGGAGCUUGCUCCUCUGCCGUUAGCGGCGGACGGGCGAGUAACACGUGGAUAAGCUACCUAUAAGACUGGGAGAACUUCGGGAAAACGGAGAUAAUACCGGCUCAUAUAUGGAACCGCAGGGUUCAAUAGUGAAAGGGGCUGUUGCUGUGACUUCGAGGUGGGUCCGCGCCGCAUUUGCGGCUGGGUAAGGUAACGGCUUACCCAGGGGGCGAUGCGUAGCCGACCGGAGAGGGUGAUCCGCCCCCCUGGAACUGAGACACCGUCCCGACUCCUCCGGGACGCAGCAGGAGGGAAUCUUCCGCAAUGGGCGGAAACCUGGCGCAGCAACCCCGCGUGAGGGAUGAAGGUCUUCGGAUCGUAAAACUCUGUUUUUAGGGAAAAACAAAUGUGUAAGUAACUACGCACUUCUUGACGGUACCUAAUCAGAAAGCCACGGCUAACUACGUG
rnacentral:rRNA from 1 species